AUACGGAGGAUGCAAGCGUUAUCCGGAUUCAUUGGGUUUAAAGGGUGCGCAGGCGGGUUUGUAAGUCAGUGGUGAAAGACUGCCGCUUAACGGUAGAGGUGCCAUUGAUACUGCGGAUCUUGAGUGUGGAUGAGGUAAGCGGAAUGUGCAGUGUAGCGGUGAAAUGCAUAGAGAUUGCACAGAACGCCGAUUGCGGAGGCAGCUUACUAAUCCAUUACUGACGCUGAGGCACGAAAGCGUGGGGAGCGAACAGGAUUAGAUACCCUGGUAGUCCACGCUGUAAACGAUGUUCACUCGCUGUUUGCGAUAUACAGUAAGCGGCUGAGCGAAAGCAUUAAGUGAACCACCUGGGGAGUACGAUCGCAAGGUUGAA
rnacentral:rRNA from 1 species